GUGAGUCAUCGAAUCUUUGAACGCACCUUGCGCUCCUUGGUACUCCGAGGAGCAUGCCUGUUUGAGUGUCAUUAAAUUCUCAACCUCAUCAGUUUUGUAACGAGACUGUGAAGUUGGAUGUGGGGGUUUGUGCAGGCUGCCUCAGUGCGGUCUGCUCCCCUGAAAUGCAUUAGCGAGUUCAAACUGAGCUCCGUCUAUUGGUGUGAUAAUUAUCUACGCCGUGGAUUGGGCUUAGACUUGCUUCUAACCGUCCGCAAGGACAAUCCUUUGACAAUUUGACCUCAAAUCAGGUAGGACUACCCGCUGAACUUAA
rnacentral:rRNA from 1 species